rnacentral:rRNA from 1 species
GACGAACGCUGGCGGCGUGCUUAACACGUGCAAGUCGAACGAUGAAGCCUAGCUUGCUAGGUGGAUUAGUGGCGAACGGGUGAGUAAUACGUGAGUGACCUACCUUUGACUCUGGGAUAAGCCUGGGAAACUGGGUCUAAUACCGGAUACGACCAAUCUCUGCAUGGGGUGUUGGUGGAAAGCGUUAUGGAGUGGCUUUAGAUGGGCUCACGGCCUAUCAGCUUGUUGGUGAGGUAAUGGCUUACCAAGGCGACGACGGGUAGCCGGCCUGAGAGGGUGACCGGCCACACUGGGACUGAGACACGGCCCAGACUCCUACGGGAGGCAGCAGUGGGGAAUAUUGCACAAUGGGCGCAAGCCUGAUGCAGCGACGCCGCGUGAGGGAUGACGGCCUUCGGGUUGUAAACCUCUGUUAGCAUCGAAGAAGCGAAAGUGACGGUAGUGCAGAGAAAGCGC